CGGCAGGCCUAAUACAUGCAAGUCGAACGGUAACAUUGGUGCUUGCACCAGAUGACGAGUGGCGCACGGGUGCGUAACGCGUAUGCAACCUACCUUUUACUAGAGUAUAGCCCAGAGAAAUUUGGAUUAAUCCUCUAUAACAUCUUUUAAUUUCAUGAUUUUAAGAUUAAAGUUUUAACGGUAAAAGAUGGGCAUGCGUCCUAUUAGUUUGUAGGUGAGGUAACGGCUCACCUAGACUACGAUAGGUAGGGGCCCUGAGAGGGGGAUCCCCCACACUGGUACUGAGACACGGACCAGACUCCUACGGGAGGCAGCAGUAAGGAAUAUUGGACAAUGGACGAAAGUCUGAUCCAGCCAUGCCGCGUGCAGGAUGACAGCCCUACGGGUUGUAAACUGCUUUUAUACAGGAAGAAACACUCCGACGUGUCGGAGCUUGACGGUACUGUAAGAAUAAGGAUCGGC
rnacentral:rRNA from 1 species